GAUGAACGCUGGCGGCGUGCCUAAUACAUGCAAGUCGAGCGAAUGGAUUAAGAGCUUGCUCUUAUGAAGUUAGCGGCGGACGGGUGAGUAACACGUGGGUAACCUGCCCAUAAGACUGGGAUAACUCCGGGAAACCGGGGCUAAUACCGGAUAACAUUUUGAACCGCAUGGUUCGAAAUUGAAAGGCGGCUUCGGCUGUCACUUAUGGAUGGACCCGCGUCGCAUUAGCUAGUUGGUGAGGUAACGGCUCACCAAGGCAACGAUGCGUAGCCGACCUUAGAGGGUGAGCGGCCACACUGGGACUGAAACACGGCCCAGACUCCUACGGGAGGCAGCAGUAGGGAAUCUUCCUCAAUGGACGAAAGUCUGACGGAGCAACGCCGGAUGAGUGAUGAAGGCUUUCUGGUCGUAGAACUCUGUUGUUAGGGAAGAACAAGUGCUAGUUGAAUAAGCUGGCACCUUGACGGUACCUAACCAGAAAGCCACGGCUAACUACGUGCCAGCCGCCGCCGUAA
rnacentral:rRNA from 1 species